UGGGGAAUAUUGGACAAUGGGGGGAAGCCUGAUCCAGCCAUGCCGCGUGUGUGAAGAAGGCCUUAUGGUUGUAAAGCACUUUAAGCGAGGAGGAGGCUACUAAGAUUAGUACUACUGGAUAGUGGACGUUACUCGCAGAAUAAGCACCGGCUAACUCUGUG
rnacentral:rRNA from 1 species